rnacentral:rRNA from 1 species
GGCCAACAAAGAGAGGCAAGACCGCGAGGUGGAGCAAAUCUCAAAAAAGCCGUCCCAGUUCGGAUCGCAGGCUGCAACCCGCCUGCGUGAAGUUGGAAUCGCUAGUAAUCGCGGAUCAGCAUGCCGCGGUGAAUACGUUCCCGGGCCUUGUACACACCGCCCGUCACACCAUGAGAGUCGGGAACACCCGAAGUCCGUAGCCUAACCGCAAGGGGGGCGCGGCCGAAGGUGGGUUCGAUAAUUGGGGUGAAGUCGUAACAAGGUAAC